UGGCCUUUCUGAGUCUGGAAUGAUCACUCC
rnacentral:piRNA from 1 species